UGUGUGUAGGAUAACGCGAGUGACAGCAAUGUCAUUCAUAUUUUCACCACAAGAUGAUACAAUGUAAUGUUAUCUGAUACUACCAGUUCAACUUUUAAAAUACAGAGGUGCUCUGCAGGUCAUCUCCAUUGGAUGGAAAGAGUAGGGCAGUAGAGUGACUCAGUCUUGAGGAUGAUGAGUGUUAACGAGCUCCACAAGAUCACAAAGUGGUGUGCAUAAGCCUCGUGACUCGUUGGUACAGCUGCUGGACAACUGUCAUGAGAUUCCUAAAAUGGUUUGUCAAAAGAGCAUAAAAGACAUGAUCAGUGAGUGGUGCCAAACACAGCAAACUGUUCAAGAUUUGGUGGUGGUGGUGAACCCUAGUGGAAAAUGGCCCCAUCAUCCCGAAUGUCUGCACCAGCGACUCUUCGAGGGGACUGGGAUGACAGCCAGAUAGCAGGCUGGACAAGAGUCAGAUGCAGAGGAACCACAGCUGCAGACGAGAGAGGCGGGGAGAUACUUUGCCCUCUCAGAAGCAAAGGCACAUCAGGAGUGGAUGAGUACCCUCUGAAUGUUCUACCUUUUUUUUCUCCAUAACUUUUUAAUUAACAGCACUUUUUAUUAUUGUUUUACAAGGAGUUUGGCAAAGAAAGAUAUUAACAAGAAACAUUUACAGAAGUCAAUACAAAUAGGAAAAUGGUCUUUGGAUUCAAAUGUCAAUAUACCACAGCAGGAGUGGAUGUUGGUGGAUAUAAUUGAUUUGUUUUGAGGGGGUGGGGAUCUCACAGAUAUACAGGACUUAGAGCUUGUAAAUGACUCGAUGGCAGCUUACAAUAAGACAUGCUGGAUAGGAGAGUCGGGUGGCAACCUCACGGCCAUGAUGCCUGGUGUGAGACCUAUACCAACCCCUGUUGUCUGCACCUCAAUGACACCAGAAAUUAUGGGAUGGAUCCUGAGUGUGGCCUGUCUCCUCAUUAUCUCAACCAACCUGCUGGUAGCUGCUGCUCUGUUUCAGCUAAUGUGCAGGGAGGGCAGUCAGAGCUGGUGCUUCGUUAUCAACCUGGCCAUGCCAGAUAGCUUGAUGUCCCUAACAACAGGGUUUCAUUUCAAUUCAGGGGAUGAACAGACUCAAUUUGUGAAUUCUUGAUCAACUGGAUAAUGAACAUGAUAUAUUUUUACACUAAUAAUCUAAAUACAGUAUCAUAUAGUAUGUGUGUUAUUCUCCUCUGCUCUGCAGGCAUGGCGCGACAGCUACAGCAGAGAAACUUCAACAGCAGCAGCCUUUGCACCUUCUUCUCUGUCAUCCGUCCUCGGGGCUUCAUUGUGUUGUUCUGUGCUGGCUUCUUCCCCAUCCUUUCUGUCUUCCACUACUUCUACCUGGACAUCCUGAAGUUUGCCUGCGGCGACCAGAUGCAGAUCCGUCAGGCCAGCUAAAGGCUUCCACAGCGCAGCCACUACUGGGGCCACGCCAAGGCCCUGAGGACUGUGGCUCUGCUGGUGGUCUGUUUCACCAUCUGCUGGUGCCGUUUGUGGUGUGUGUGGUGCAGGUGCUGUGUGAGGGCUGUGAGUUGUACAAGGUGCUGGAGAACGACCUGUAGCUGCUGGGGCUGUCCAACCCCCUCAUCAACCCUCUGGUGUACGCCUGCUGGCAGAGGGAGGUGUGGCUGAAGAUCGGGGCACUCAUCUCCGUUAAGGACAGGUUCAGGAACACAGCCGUGUUAGAGGCUAGUGAGAGAUGUCAGACAGAGCUGCGUAUACUGCGUACACUUAUACUGUUAUAUCUGUGGACAAUGUCCUGAGCCUGGACCCCCACCUUCCCCCGGUCACCACUGAACAGGGCCACACUGUAUCGCUUUCUGCCUCAACCACCUUGUAAAUGACUUAAACAUUUUGAGAACAACUCAUUGAGGUUGAAUAAACCAAUUUGAACACUUACUGUGGCAGCUUAGAGCUUUCUCCAUUUCUGGUAGAAACGGUUCACGUCACACGUCUGGCCACAGCAACCAACUGCCAAGAACAACCAAAAGUGGAAAAAUAACAGAGUGAGAUGGAUGUGGAGACAUCAUGAAACCUAUUUGCUGUUUUUCCUCUGUUUCCUCUACUAACCUAAUUGAUAUUAUCUCUGCAAAGAAUGGCAUUUGUCCCUCUGCAUUCCCACCCAGCUAGCACAUAAUGCUCUGAUUGCUAUAUGUUUCUUAGAGCAUGAUUGUUUUGUGCAGGAUAGUUACUUGGCUUUGGAACAUUCUCAGUACAUUGAACUUGACAAAAGAAUGUUAUUUUUUGGGUAUUUCAUUACUUUAACAGAACGUUUCCUAAAAGUUCAAACUUGGUUACAUUUAAUUACAUUUUUUGUUAAUGUUCUAGGAACCUUUUCCAACUGGAUUGACAUUGGGAAUAUCAUCAAAUUGUUCCGAGAAUGUUAAGAAACAAUGUUCUCCUGUGGGAAUUUCAGUUCUGCAGCAUAAUGUUUUCUGUAGGUUUACACAUGGUUCAAUUUUCUCAGAACACUACAAAUAUUUUCCAUAAAAACCCAAUAAUUGGCCACACCUGAUCUUACUAAGUGCUUGUUUAAUUUGAAAUGGGGUCUGUUUGAAUAAACUAAAAUGAACAGCUUUGUAUGAGUAAAAAAAAAUGGCAUCAUGGUGGAUAGAGAACAGAAAAUCAUAGCUUUAAAUCUCAUUGACACAGUGCCACAGUGUUUGCAUGAUUAAUGCCUAAGCAAAUUCAAUUCCAGGUGUCCUAUCUGUGCUUGGAGAUCAAAACAGUUAAACUAAGCUAGCAGUGUUAUUAAAAGUUAUUGAAACAUUCAGUGAAAGUUUUAAGGAAAAUCAAAUAACCUAGAAUUUCUGUUCUCAGAACGUUAAUAAAAUCUCCCAGGAACACUUUUAGGGAACCAUAGUAAAACGUCCUCAGAACCUCCCUACAACAUUAAAAUGUAUGUUCCCAGAGCAGCCAUCGCCUGUAUUGUGGGAGGCAAUAUUGUCAACCAAUCAUUAGGAUGUUUUUGCUUGACCCACGCGAACGUGACCAAUGGCAUGACUGAAACAGGAGGCAACUUUGCUGCAAUUCAUGUAUACAGUGGAUAUGUACAAAUGACUGUGAUAUUUGAGUCUCUCUCUCGUGCCAAUUGAGUGUACAAUGUACAAACAUAUAUAUUUUCAGUUUGAGUGUUUUGAUAUGUGAUUUAUUUUUUAUGUUUAGUUCAACAUUAUAAAGAAAAACUUUUAUAAACAAUGACAACACC